UACGAAGGGGGCUAGCGUUGUUCGGAAUCACUGGGCGUAAAGGGCGCGUAGGCGGCCGAUCAAGUCGGGGGUGAAAGCCUGUGGCUCAACCACAGAAUUGCCUUCGAUACUGUUUGGCUUGAGACCGGAAGAGGUAAGUGGAACUGCGAGUGUAGAGGUGAAAUUCGUAGAUAUUCGCAAGAACACCGGUGGCGAAGGCGGCGACCUGGGACAAUACUGACGCUGAGGUGCGAAAGCGUGGGGAGCAAACAGG
rnacentral:rRNA from 1 species